UCCCCCCCCACACUUCCUCUUGGUUUGGUAUGCUUAGUUUUAUUUCUAGUGUAGUAAAAAAGAGAUGCAACAAUAAUGGUCAUUCCUAUAGUGUCUUUGAUUUUUAAAGGGGCUCUGUUUAACAUUUUAACUUUGUCAAAAAGGAAACAGAGGCAAAAUAAGAUUUUGAGUGUUUCUUUCCGCAAGUAGUCAUUCAUGAACUGGGAAGCUCUAAACUGGUUUGGAAUUCGCUGAAGAGCUGUGAGGAAACAGCUCCUGUCUAGGAGAAGUAGAAAAGUAUAGACAUCCGUCCAUCCAAUCUAUCCCAGGGAUUUACAGGAGAGAGCUAUAGGAGGCCUGACCAGUGAUUCCAUCUGGAGCUCCAUUGUACGGUGACUUGGGAAACUUGUCAUAGCAUGCCAGCUGCCUCAAAGCAUACCUCUUAUUCUCAGAGAAAGUCAAGGACAUAACACUGUCCCACUCAGGAACAGUAUUUUCACCAAGAAUGCUAACAUAAGAACUAUCUGUUUAGAAUGUUCCAGUCCAAGAGAAACAUCUGCACAUGACACGACUGCUCCAUUCAUGAACUCACAGCAGCUGCAGUUUCCUACAUGAGACCUGUACAAGAUCAAGCCAGUUAACAUUCCAGCAUGGAUUGGGGAAGGGACAGCUGCAGUUUCCCUAACUAAGGAGCUAAUGCUUCUUGAGGAGGGAGAGUCAGUUUUCUUUAAUGGUGUGAUCCCUGGUAGGAUGACCAUGCUCCAGUGAUGGCUCAAAUCCGUGAGCAACAAAAUUGGAAACAGUGGUCUAUGAGAGAUUGGGGAGAGAUAGGGAGGGAGAGAGGAAAAGAGGCGAGGCGGGACAUACAUUUUUGGAGGAGGUGGGGAAGUAGGGGAUAGUUAUGACAAGAGUUGGGGGAGAAGUUGGGUGUGAAUAUAAUAAAAAAUAAAUUUUAUGCAUAUAGAAAGUUCUUAAGGAAUUAAUAAAAACAUCAUAUUAAAGAAAGCUCUAGUCCAGCCCCAAUUUUCUAAUACUUAAUUCAAUUGGUAUGUUUUACAGGUAGCUUUUCUUAAUCCAAGCACUAAGAAUUAAUGUUUUACAUAGUUAUUGAAUAAAUAAACACUUAAAACAACA